rnacentral:miRNA from 1 species
UGUUAUAGUCCUUUGUGCUGUAUGUAUGUAUGUAUAUAUAUAUAUGUGUAUACACACACACACACACACACACACACACACACACACACACAC